rnacentral:rRNA from 1 species
AGAGUUUGAUCAUGGCUCAGAUUGAACGCUGGCGGCAGGCUUAACACAUGCAAGUCGAACGGUAACAGGAAGGAAGCUUGCUUUCUUUGCUGACGAGUGGCGGACGGGUGAGUAAUGCUUGGGAAUCUGGCUUAUGGAGGGGGAUAACUACGGGAAACUGUAGCUAAUACCGCGUAAUAUCUUCGGAUUAAAGGGUGGGACCGUAAGGCCACCUGCCAUAAGAUGAGCCCAAGUGGGAUUAGGUAGUUGGUGGGGUAAAGGCCUACCAAGCCGACGAUCUCUAGCUGGUCUGAGAGGAUGACCAGCCACACUGGAACUGAGACACGGUCCAGACUCCUACGGGAGGCAGCAGUGGGGAAUAUUGCACAAUGGGGGGAACCCUGAUGCAGCCAUGCCGCGUGAAUGAAGAAGGCCUUAGGGUUGUAAAGUUCUUUCGGUGAUGAGGAAGGCGGUUGUUUUAAUAGAACAAUCGAUUGACGUUAGUCACAGAAGAAGCACCGGCUAACUCCGUGCCAGCAGCCGCGGUAAUACGGAGGGUGCGAGCGUUAAUCGGAAUGACUGGGCGUAAAGGGCACGCAGGCGGUGACUUAAGUGAGAUGUGAAAGCCCCGGGCUUAACCUGGGAAUUGCAUUUCAUACUGGGUCGCUAGAGUAUUUUAGGGAGGGGUAGAAUUCCACGUGUAGCGGUGAAAUGCGUAGAGAUGUGGAGGAAUACCGAAGGCGAAGGCAGCCCCUUGGGAAUAUACUGACGCUCAUGUGCGAAAGCGUGGGGAGCAAACAGGAUUAGAUACCCUGGUAGUCCACGCUGUAAACGCUGUCGAUUUGGGGAUUGGGCUUUAAGCUUGGUGCCCGUAGCU